rnacentral:rRNA from 1 species
AGCAGCCGCGGUAAUUCCAGCUCCAAUAGCGUAUAUUAAAGUUGUUGCAGUUAAAAAGCUCGUAGUUGAAUUUCGGGACCAAUUUGUUGGUCGUGCCUCGGUACGUACUGGUAUUAUUGGUUUCUCCCUUCUGAAGAACCUCGAUGCCAUUAAUUUGGUGUCGUGGGGAAUCAGGACUGUUACUUUGAAAAAAUUAGAGUGUUUAAAGCAGGCGCACGCUUGAAUACAUUAGCAUGGAAUAAUGAAAUAGGACGUUCGAUCUUAUUUUGUUGGUUUCUAAGAUUGACGUAAUGAUUAAUAGGGAUAGUUGGGGGCAUUAGUAUUCAAUUGUCAGAGGUGAAAUUCUUGGAUUUAUUGAAGACUAACUACUGCGAAAGCAUUUGCCAAGGAUGUUUUCAUUAAUCAAGAACGAAAGUUAGGGGAUCGAGACGAUCAGAUACCGUCGUAGUCUUAACCAUAAACUAUGCCGACUAGGGAUCGGAUGAUGUAAUUUUUUAAUGACUCAUUCGGCGCCUUACGG